rnacentral:rRNA from 1 species
UGCCAGACUCCUACGGGAGGCAGCAGUGAGGAAUAUUGGUCAAUGGCCGGAAGGCUGAACCAGCCAAGCCGCGUGAAGGACGAAGGUGCCAAGCAUUGUAAACUUCUUUUGUCAAGGGACAAAAUCAGGCUCGAGAGCCUGACCGAGGGUACUUGAAGAAAAAGCAUCGGCUAACUCCGUGCCAGCAGCCGCGGUAAUACGUAGGGGGCAAGCGUUAUCCGGAUUUACUGGGUGUAAAGGGAGCGUAGACGGCAAUACAAGUCGGAAGUGAAAUACCCGGGCUUAACCUGGGAACUGCUUUGGAAACUGUAUGGCUGGAGUGCUGGAGAGGUAAGCGGAAUUCCUAGUGUAGCGGUGAAAUGCGUAGAUAUUAGGAGGAACACCAGUGGCGAAGGCGGCUUACUGGACAGUAACUGACGUUGAGGCUCGAAAGCGUGGGGAGCAAACAGGAUUAGAUACCCUAGUA